rnacentral:misc_RNA from 3 species
CGUUGGUGAACCAGCGGAGGGAUCAUUACCGAGUACUAUAACUCAUAACCCUUUGUGAACCUUCAUACCUGUUGCUUCGGCGGCGCGCCUCUCGGGGCGUGCCCGCCGGCAUUAUCAGAAUCUCUGUUCGAACCCGACGAUACUUCUGAGUGUUCUAAGCGAACUGUUAAAACUUUCAACAACGGAUCUCUUGGCUCCAGCAUCGAUGAAGAACGCAGCGAAACGCGAUAUGUAAUGUGAAUUGCAGAAUUCAGUGAAUCAUCGAAUCUUUGAACGCACAUGGCGCCUUCCAGUAUCCUGGGAGGCAUGCCUGUCCGAGCGUCGUUUCAACCCUCGAGCCCCCGUGGCCCGGCGUUGGGGACCUGCCCAGGCAGUCCCCGAAAACCAGUGGCGGACCCGACGGGCCCUUCCUUUGCGUAGUAACAUCUGCCUCGCAUCGGGAGCCCCCGGGCUAUCCGGCCUCUAAACCCCCCUCAAGCCCGCUCCGGCGGCACC